UUCUAUUUUGCGGCAGACGGUUCCCAACGGGAUCAAAAUGGGAAUGCGGUGAGCGCGCUCUUCGCGCGCGAUUCCGCGGCUGCCCCCGCAACUGUAAGCGGCGAGCCGACGACCACUAAGCCACUGGAGCCAUAAGGCUCUGGGAAGGCGGUCCAAGGCGACAACCCGCGAGCCAGGAGACCUGCCGUCGCUUCGUGGUCACG
rnacentral:ncRNA from 2 species